GUUAAACAUGAAUAGUCUGGCUUGAUUUAUAUAAGUAGUUAAAUAAUCAUGUUGAGCUCGUUAACCAAAUAUAGAUGAAAUAAUUAUGACCAUGAAACUGAUGUCCAAUGGGAUUUGGGAAACGCAUAAUUCUCUCGCUUUUUAAAUUAAGCGGCUGUCACCUAUCAAUAUUUAUACUGACGUGGUCCACAAUAGUAGGAAGUACACUAUAGCGGUUUAUUGACUCUCCAUCAUAUCCAAAUACGGCACAAUGUGAGACGUGAUCCCCGACGUCGCAUACAAAGUAUUAUCGGUGGAAAAGGUCGGUCUCUUCGUUACAUGCCGUCAUAUCGACAUCUACUGUUCGACGCCGAACAAUCAUCACUAACUAAAAAACCAUAUGUUUCACUAGAACCUAAUUCUCUCUAUACCACACGGUACCACACCACAUCAGGAUCGGACUAUGGCCAGAUUUGCGGCAGCAAUGUACCCGUGUCAAUAUCUAAUAUUGUCCAUUAAGAGUAACAGUUGGGUGACUAUGACCACUAUACGAACCGGAUUGUUGGAUUUAUAUAAAUUAAGUUUUCAAAGCUGUAUUUUA